UACGUAGGGUGCAGGCGUUAAUCGGAAUUACUGGGCGUAAAGCGUGCGCAGGCGGUUAUGUAAGACAGUUGUGAAAUCCCCGGGCUCAACCUGGGAAUUGCAUCUGUGACUGCAUAGCUAGAGUACGGUAGAGGGGGAUGGAAUUCCGCGUGUAGCAGUGAAAUGCGUAGAUAUGCGGAGGAACACCGAUGGCGAAGGCAGCCCCCUGGGAUAACACUGACGCCUCAUGCACGAAAGCGUGGGGAGCAAACAGG
rnacentral:rRNA from 1 species